CAAAGACAUAGCAAGUCGAGCGGAGCGACGWUAUCUGAACCUUCGGGGRACGAUAACGGCGUCGAGCGGCGGACGGGUGAGUAAUGCCUAGGAAAUUGCCCUGAUGUGGGGGAUAACCAUUGGAAACGAUGGCUAAUACCGCAUAAUGCCUACGGGCCAAAGAGGGGGACCUUCGGGCCUCUCGCGUCAGGAUAUGCCUAGGUGGGAUUAGCUAGUUGGUGAGGUAAUGGCUCACCAAGGCGACGAUCCCUAGCUGGUCUGAGAGGAUGAUCAGCCACACUGGAACUGAGACACGGUCCAGACUCCUACGGGAGGCAGCAGUGGGGAAUAUUGCACAAUGGGCGCAAGCCUGAUGCAGCCAUGCCGCGUGUGUGAAGAAGGCCUUCGGGUUGUAAAGCACUUUCAGUCGUGAGGAAGGUAGUGUAGUUAAUAGCUGCAUUAUUUGACGUUAGCGACAGAAGAAGCACCGGCUAACUCCGUGCCAGCAGCCGCGGUAAUACGGAGGGUGCGAGCGUUAAUCGGAAUUACUGGGCGUAAAGCGCAUGCAGGUGGUUUGUUAAGUCAGAUGUGAAAGCCCGGGGCUCAACCUCGGAAUUGCAUUUGAAACUGGCAGACUAGAGUACUGUAGAGGGGGGUAGAAUUUCAGGUGUAGCGGUGAAAUGCGUAGAGAUCUGAAGGAAUACCGGUGGCGAAGGCGGCCCCCUGGACAGAUACUGACACUCAGAUGCGAAAGCGUGGGGAGCAAACAGGAUUAGAUACCCUGGUAGUCCACGCCGUAAACGAUGUCUACUUGGAGGUUGUGGCCUUGAGCCGUGGCUUUCGGAGCUAACGCGUUAAGUAGACCGCCUGGGGAGUACGGUCGCAAGAUUAAAACUCAAAUGAAUUGACGGGGGCCCGCACAAGCGGUGGAGCAUGUGGUUUAAUUCGAUGCAACGCGAAGAACCUUACCUAC
rnacentral:rRNA from 1 species